UGCGCUGCUUUGGCUUCGUUCAUUAGUUGAAUUGAGGCGUAGAGCUGUCAAGAUGCGAAAAAGAAAUGCGAAAAAUAGCAUUAGCAAUAGUAAAUCGUAUAAAAACUUCAAAUCACCUGGCAACCCUAUGAAUCUCAACAAAUAAGCGCGCCCAAUGGAACAGUGCAGAGAGUGGGAAGGUUUUGGUGGUCUUCAAUGACAUUGCACCAUAGUUGAAGCCAGUGCCAGUGGCACAGCCAGUGCCGGUCUCUAUAGCUCAGCAGCACCGAAAAGGGUCCAAUUAAAAAACCACAACAAUUAACGAGCCAAGUGAGUUAACUUGGCAUAAAUGGAAUUUUAAUUGGCAACAUAAGAGCGGCAGUAACAACAACAACUACCAGCAGCAGCAGCCAGUGAAAAGAGCCAAGAGCCAAGAGCAGGAACGGAGUGACUCGCCGAGUGCCGAUAAGUGAGUGCAGCAAUCGGGUAGAAAGAGCGAAACAGAGAGAGAGAGUGGGUGAGUGAGUGAGUCGGUGAGUGAGUGAGUGGCGCACUGAAAGGAGAAAGAGAGAGAUGGGACGCUCGUUACGAGCCCGGGAGUAGUUAAGUAAAUGAGCAUUUUGUUUCACUAAUGAACACUAAUGAAUGCCGGAGACAACACUUCGGUUAAGCUGUGUACGUGCGUACGUGUAUAUGUGUGUGUGGAUAUAUGCAUGUGUGUGUGUGCUUGUGUGUGCUGCCUUUGUGAGUUUGGGGUUUUGUGUUGUUAAUUAAUAAACACGAAAGCCGGGCCAGGCAAGGCCCAUUGUGUAUGUGUGUUUGUGUGUGUGUGUGUGCCCAGUUUUGAAGGGGUUAAAAUAAGCAAUUAGUUGGAUUUUCAACUAGGCGCACAGCAAAUGCAGAGCCGUCGAAACUGGCAACUGGUAACUGGCAACAGGCGCUGGCGCUGGCGCUGGCACGGACAGAGGCAGAAGAAGCAGCGCAGAGGCACAGGCAACUUUGGGAGGCAAGCCGACGCCGACGACAUGAAAAACUUUCAAACUGUUGCCGACCAGCGUAGUCGACAUCGCUUCUUCUAACGAGCAGCGGAUAGAAAUUGCUGCCGCUGCCGUCUGCCGUCUGCUGCUGUUGCUGCUGCUUGGUGGUCGGCGAGCGAGGGACGAACAUUGUCGUCGCUGUGGCAUGUUGUUGUAAGCCUGCCACGCAUUGCCCCUAAGCCACCCACCCAGCAGCAGCAGCACCAGUUCGCGUGCCUCGCUGUGUGGGCGAGCGGAUGCAAAAAGCUUUUUUGCGCUUGGCCCUUUGCGGUGUUUCUCUGCUUUCUGCUACGAGUUUUAAUUAGUGUAACGGUUUUAACGUUACCUACGUGCGUGUGGCACUGAAACAACAGGUGGUCAAUAAGGUAUGAUUUGUUAAUGUGUGACAUGUUGCCUAUAAAUUUGCUACACUCUCCAUUCAAAUAUCGAUCAAAUUGUGAACCAAUCGGAACUAGUUGGGAUUUGAAAUUGACGAUAGAUUGAACAUGG
rnacentral:sRNA from 1 species